UAAGUUGGUAGUGAAAGCGUGCGGCUCAACCGCAUACACAUUACCAAAACUGCAAAGCUAGAGGACGAGAGAGGUUAUUAGAAUUCCUAGUGUAGCGGUGGAAUGCGUAGAUAUUAGGAGGAAUACCGAUGGCGUAGGCAGAUAACUGGCUCGUUCCUGACACUAAGGCACGAAAGCGUGGGGAGCAAACGGGAUUAGAUACCCCGGUAGUCCACGCCGUAAACGAUGGAUGCUA
rnacentral:rRNA from 1 species